GCCCGAGUGGCGGAAUGGCAGACGCGGUGGACUCAAAAUCCACUGAUGGUAACAUCGUGGGGGUUCAAGUCCCUUCUCGGGCA
rnacentral:tRNA from 1 species